GACAGAGGGUGCAAACGUUGUUCGGAAUUACUGGGCGUAAAGCGAGUGUAGGCGGUUUUCUAAGUCAGGUGUGAAAGCCCCGGGCUCAACCCGGGAAGUGCACUUGAAACUGGAAGGCUAGAGUAUCGGAGAGGUUGGUGGAGUUCUCGGUGUAGAGGUGAAAUUCGUAGAUAUCGAGAGGAACACCGGUGGCGAAGGCGGCCAACUGGACGAAUACUGACGCUGAGACUCGAAAGCGUGGGGAGCAAACAGG
rnacentral:rRNA from 1 species